GGCAGUCAUGGCCUAAUGGUUAGAGAGUCAGUCUUAUAACCUGAAGGUGAACCCAAAGGUCAUGGGUUUGAGUCCCAAGUCUGUCA